rnacentral:rRNA from 1 species
UUUAAAAUCUGGCAGUCUCUGGCUGUCCGAGUUGUAAUCUAGAGAAGUAAUGCCCGUGCUGGACCGUGUAUAAGUCUCCUGGGAUGGGGCGUCAUAGAGGGUGAGAAUCCCGUCUUUGACACGGACUACCAGUGCAUUGUGGUAUGCUCUCAAAGAGUCGAGUUGUUUGGGAAUGCAGCUCAAAAUGGGUGGUAAAUUCCAUCUAAAGCUAAAUAUUGGCGAGAGACCGAUAGCGAACAAGUACCGUGAGGGAAAGAUGAAAAGAACUUUGGAAAGAGAGUUAAACAGUACGUGAAAUUGCUGAAAGGGAAACGCUUGAAGUCAGUCGCGUUGACUGGAAAUCAGCCUUGCUUUUGCAUGGUGUACUUUCUGGUUGACGGGUCAGCAUCAAUUUUGACCGCUGGAAAAAGGCCUGGGGAAUGUGGCAGCUUCGGCUGUGUUAUAGCCCCUAGUCACAUACAGUGGUUGGGAUUGAGGAACUCAGCACGCCGCAAGGCCGGGUUUCGACCACGACCGUGCUUAGGAUGCUGGCAUAAUGGCUUUAAGCGACCCGUCUUGAAACACGGACCAAGGAGUCUAACAUGCCUGCGAGUAUUUGGGUGGAAAACUCAAGUGCGUAAUGAAAGUGAAAGUUGAGAUCCCUGUCGUGGGGAGCAUCGACGCCCGGACCAGAACUUUUGGGACGGAUCCGCGGUGGAGCAUGUAUGUUGGGACCCGAAAGAUGGUGAACUAUGCCUGAAUAGGGUGAAGCCAGAGGAAACUCUGGUGGAGGCUCGUAGCGAUUCUGACGUGCAAAUCGAUCGUCAAAUUUGGGUAUAGGGGCGAAAGACUAAUCGAACCAUCUAGUAGCUGGUUCCUGCCGAA